UAAGAGGCUUUUAUGAAAGCCAUGUUUAUACACCUAAAAUUAUAAU
rfam:Physcomitrella patens subsp. patens PHYPAscaffold_28 genomic scaffold, whole genome shotgun sequence.